AUUGAACGCUGGCGGCAGGCCUAACACAUGCAAGUCGAACGAGUGGCGGACGGGUGAGUAAUGUCUGGGAAACUGCCUGAUGGAGGGGGAUAACUACUGGAAACGGUAGCUAAUACCGCAUACCAUCAGAUGUGCCCAGAUGGGAUUAGCCAGUUGGUGGGGUACCGGCUCACCAAGGCGACCAUCCCUCGCUGGUCUGAGAGGAUGACCAGCCACACGUGAACUGAGACACGGUCCAGACUCCUACGGGAGGGUGCAGUGGGGAAUAUUGCAAAAUGGUCGCAAGCCUGGUGCAGCCAUGCCGCGUGUAUGAAGAAGGCCUUCGGGUGGUAAAGUACUUUCAGCGGGGAGGCGUUACCCGCAGAAGAAGCACCGGCUAACUCCAUGCCAGCAGCCGCGGUAAUAC
rnacentral:rRNA from 1 species